AUUGAACGCUGGCGGCAUGCCUUACACAUGCAAGUCGAACGGCAGCACGGGAGCAAUCCUGGUGGCGAGUGGCGAACGGGUGAGUAAUAUAUCGGAACGUGCCCGGUCGUGGGGGAUAACGUAGCGAAAGCUACGCUAAUACCGCAUACGAUCUACGGAUGAAAGCGGGGGAUCGCAAGACCUCGCGCGAUUGGAGCGGCCGAUAUCAGAUUAGGUAGUUGGUGAGGUAAAGGCUCACCAAGCCGACGAUCUGUAGCUGGUCUGAGAGGACGACCAGCCACACUGGGACUGAGACACGGCCCAGACUCCUACGGGAGGCAGCAGUGGGGAAUUUUGGACAAUGGGCGCAAGCCUGAUCCAGCAAUGCCGCGUGCAGGAUGAAGGCCUUCGGGUUGUAAACUGCUUUUGUACGGAACGAAACGGUGAGCUCUAAUACAGUCUGCUAAUGACGGUACCGUAAGAAUAAGCACCGGCUAACUACGUG
rnacentral:rRNA from 1 species